AGUGAACGCUGGCGGUAGGCCUAACACAUGCAAGUCGAACGGCAGCACAGUAAGAGCUUGCUCUUACUGGUGGCGAGUGGCGGACUGGUGAGGAAUACAUCGGAAUCUACUUUUUCGUGGGGGAUAACUUAGGGAAACUUACGCUAAUACCUCAUACUACCUACGGGUGAAAGCAGGGGAUCUUCGGACCUUGCGCGAUUGAAUGAGCCGAUGUCGGAUUAGCUAGUUGGCGGGGUAAAGGCCCACCAAGGCGACGAUCCGUAGCUGGUCUGAGAGGAUGAUCAGCCACACUGGAAAUGAGACAAGGUCCAGACUCCUACGGGAGGCAGCAGGGGGGAAUAUUGGACAAUGGGCGCAAGCCUGAUCCAGCCAAACCGCGUGGGUGAAGAAGGCCUUCGGGUUGUAAAGCCCUUUUGUUGGGAAAGAAAAGCAGCAGGUUAAUAACCCGCUGUUCUGAAGGUACCCAAAGAAUAAGCACCGGCUAACUUCGUG
rnacentral:rRNA from 1 species